GCCUGGGUGGCUCAGUCAGUUAAGCUUCUGACUUUGGCUCAGGUCAUGAAUGACCUCACGGUUUGUGGGUUCGAGCCCCAUACUGGGCC
rnacentral:tRNA from 1 species